UGGGGAAUAUUGCACAAUGGGCGCAAGCCUGAUGCAGCAACGCCGCGUGAACGAUGAAGGUCUUCGGAUCGUAAAGUUCUGUUGCAGGGGAAGAUAAUGACGGUACCUGCAGAAGAAGCCCCGGCUAACUACGUGCCAGCAGCCGCGGUAAUACGUAGGGGGCAAGCGUUAUCCGGAUUCAUUGGGCGUAAAGCGCGCGUAGGCGGUUUGUUAGGUCAGGAGUUAAAUCUGGGGGCUCAACCCCUAUCCGCUCCUGAUACCGGCAGGCUUGAGUCUGGUAGGGGAAGGCGGAAUUCCAAGUGUAGCGAUGAAAUGCGCAGAUAUUUGGAAGAACACCGGUGGCGAAGGCGGCCUUCUGGGCCACGACUGACGCUGAGGCGCGAAAGCUAGGGGAGCGAACAGG
rnacentral:rRNA from 1 species